rnacentral:rRNA from 1 species
CAAUAGCGUAUAUUUAAGUUGCUGCAGUUAAAAAGCUCGUAGUUGGAUUUCGGGUGGGAAUGGCCGGUCCGCCGUUUCGGUGUGCACUUGCUACGCCCACCUUGCUGCCGGGGACGUGCUCUUGAGUUCACGCUCGGGACACGGAGUCGGCGAGGUUACUUUGAGUAAAUUAGAGUGUUCAAAGCAGGCCUACGCUCUGAAUACAUUAGCAUGGAAUAACACGAUAGGACUCUGGCCUAUCUUGUUGGUCUGUAGGACCGGAGUAAUGAUUAAGAGGGACAGUCGGGGGCAUUCGUAUUUCAUUGUCAGAGGUGAAAUUCUUGGAUUUAUGAAAGACGAACUACUGCGAAAGCAUUUGCCAAGGAUGUCUUCAUUAA